GAUGAAGAACGUAGCGAAAUGCGAUACGUAAUGUGAAUUGCAGAAUUCAGUGAAUCAUCGAGUCUUUGAACGCACAUUGCGCCCUCUGGUAUUCCAGAGGGCAUGCCUGUCCGAGCGUCAUUGCUGCCCUCAAGCACGGCUUGUGUGUUGGGCCCCGCCCCCCGAUCCCGGGGGGCGGGCCCGAAAGGCAGCGGCGGCACCGCGUCCGGUCCUCGAGCGUAUGGGGCUUUGUCACCCGCUCUGUAGGCCCGGCCGGCGCCUGCCGAUCAACCAAACUUUUUUCCAGGUUGACCUCGGAUCAGGUAGGGAUACCCGCUGAACUUAAGCAUAUCAAUAAGCGGAGGA
rnacentral:misc_RNA from 1 species